GGGGCCGUAGCUCAGCGGGAGAGCGCUGCCUUCGCACGGCAGAGGUCGUGGGUUCAAAUCCCAUCGGCUCCACCA
rnacentral:tRNA from 1 species